UCCUCGAUGGUCUAACGGUCAUGAUUUCCGCUUGUCACUCUUAUGAGAACGAGCGCGGGAGACCAGGGUUCGACUCCCUGUCGGGGAG
rnacentral:tRNA from 1 species